CUAACACCUUAACAUCUUAAGUGCAUACCACAUACCACCACGCUGGGCCAUGGCUGGAGCACGGCUGCGGCAGUCGCGGCGGUCACUGGAAGGCCUCUGACCAAUAGCCCAAGCCAUUCACCACUUUUUAAGAAUCAUAUAGGUGCAUGUGAUAGGCCGUGAACUCCCCGAUGGUUACACUCAUGAGGGGCAGCCAUGAGCCCACUCAGUUUCCCACCAAGAGUGGCAGCAGUCAAGACCAGCAAAUGGCCAACAGUGUCUGGGACUGUGAACGUGGGAGGACAUGAAGAGACUCAAAGGGGCGUCCCGUAUAUAAGGAAUUUAAAUCUGAAGAACUAUCUGCACAUAAGCAAUUAGCUAACUUCACUGAUAAUGAUGGCAGCCUCCAUGGUCCAGUGGCGGCAGGAUCAGCGUCAAUAUACAGCAUCCAGGGAAGAUAGCACCGCAACACUGCCUUGAAUAUGGCAUGGCUUUGGUGGUGGUUCUGGCUACCCAGGUUUCUAUAGCUCUCAAUUUUUUUUUCCAAAUGAGGAAGAACUUGACUCGUCAGCCCUUCUGUUAAGCCUUCCCAAAAAGUACUGAUAUCCUUUCAAUAAAUUUCUGUUUUUCCUCUUACUUUAGGAAAGCUGAUAACUGU